rnacentral:rRNA from 1 species
AUUGAACGCUGGCGGCAGGCCUAACACAUGCAAGUCGAGCGGGGUUUUCGGACCUAGCGGCGGACGGGUGAGUAAUGCGUAGGAAGCUACCCGAUAGAGGGGGAUACCAGUUGGAAACGACGGUUAAUACCGCAUAAUGUCUACGGACCAAAGUGUGGGACCUUCGGGCCACAUGCUAUCGGAUGCGCCUACGUGGGAUUAGCUAGUUGGUGAGGUAAUGGCUCACCAAGGCGACGACCCCUAGCUGGUUUGAGAGGAUGAUCAGCCACACUGGAACUGAGACACGGUCCAGACUCCUACGGGAGGCAGCAGUGGGGAAUAUUGGACAAUGGGCGCAAGCCUGAUCCAGCCAUGCCGCGUGUGUGAAGAAGGCCUUCGGGUUGUAAAGCACUUUCAGCGAGGAGGAAGGGGUGAGUGUUAAUAGUACUCAUCUUUGACGUUACUCGCAGAAGAAGCACCGGCUAACUCUGUGCCAGCAGCCGCCGUAACAC